GUAUUCUCAGAACGCGGUUUCCAUAUAACGCGGAGCUGAAAUUGCGACAGCCCUCCUAUAACGCGGUACUCUUACAGCGCGGUUUCCGUUCAACAACGUCCCAUCAGUUCUUUCCGUGCACCCAAUGAAUGAUUUUAACCACUUGCGGUGGAAAGACGUGCUACGCACGUCGUAAUGCUUUUGUCGCAGAAUCGCCAACGACGUGAUAUACACGUCGUCAGGCAAUUGUCACAGAAACGACGUGCGUGGCACGUCGGCUGAGAUUGCUGGCACUGUUCGAGCGACAGCGAAGAAGCGCAAAAUCGCUCCGUGGCACUCAAACGGUUUAUUUGUGGUUUAUAAUUGGACAACAUUACACAAUACUAUUUGCAUGAUGUCAAACACAAAAGAAACAAGGAAAGGAUUAAAAAGAAAGUUUAUAUCUCUUGAAGAUAAAAUCCAAAUUUUAAAUCGUUUAGAAG